UACAGAGGGGGCAAGCGUUGUUCGGAAUUACUGGGCGUAAAGGGCGCGUAGGCGGCCUUCUAAGUCACACGUGAAAUCCCUCGGCUCAACCGGGGAACUGCGUGUGAUACUGGAUGGCUUGAGUUUGGGAGAGGGAUGCGGAAUUCCAGGUGUAGCGGUGAAAUGCGUAGAUAUCUGGAGGAACACCGGUGGCGAAGGCGGCUUGCUGGGCCAGUUCUGACGCUGAGGAGCGAAAGCGUGGGGAGCGAACAGG
rnacentral:rRNA from 1 species